GUGAGGCUGGCCACACCCUGAGGUCCCCGCCAGCGUCUCAUCAGCUGAGACCCUGCAGCCCCCCCCCGCCGUCCCCACCCCCUGCAUCCCCAGGGUCCCCGGAGAGUUGUGUCAUCAGCUGAUGGGGCACAGGCACGGCCACCGGCAUGCAGGGCCUCCUGCUUCUUCUGUGGGGGCCGAACCCCCGAGCACCACGACAGGGUGUGCCGGGCGGGCGCCAUGUGUCCCCGGGCCUGGGCGGGCCUGCCACAGACGCUGGGCAUCAAAGCCACGUGCAGGCCCGAUGCAGCGGCGCGGGCAGGGGAAGGCCCUCCUUGUGCCGCGCCCGCCGCCCACUGAGCUCUCGUGCCCGUGCCCCCGAGGACCCCGCCUGGAUGAACCCACGGAGGCCGCUCGCUCGCUGGGACCUGGCGGUUCUGCUCCCACCUGGGCCCUGCUCGGCCCCAGGGGCAGUUGAUUCAGGGUCGCACGUGGUCUCUUCCGGGGAGGGCUCCUCCUGGGGACCCUGGGGGUCUCCGCCCCAGGUGGGCGGGGGCCGGCCCUGCUGGUGCCGAGAGCCGGCCACCACCUCUGCCCACCUCUGCCCUCCCCGUGUCUACAGGACGCCGUCUCCAGGCCCCGGAGAAGAGGGCCCGCUGGGCCACAUGCCACUGCCUCCCAGCCUCCGGCUCGUGGGCCAGCAGCAGCCCAGCAAAGCACAUCCGUCCUGCAAGAAAGGCUCAGCUGCUUGUCCUUAAAAGGAGCCUCCCUGGUGACCCCCGCCUUGGGAAUCCCAGGCUGCAGCUGGGGCAGGAAUCCAGGCCCUAGGAGCCGCGUCCUGUCCCCGAGGGUCUCUGCUCGAGGUCAUGGCUUUUCUGUGGCUUGGAGGAAUUCUGGAUCUUUCCUGGGCCAGCCCAGCUGAGACCACAUUGCAAAUGCCCCGUCCUGCCUCGUAGCUGUGGGGGGUGCAGGAGGCUCCAGAGCCCAGGGGCUGCUCGGGGGUGUGCAGAGGUGUGUAAGCCUCCCCUGCCUGCCUUUUCUUCUAGGCUGCAGCACACGCAGAGCUGGGUGCAGCACAGGCCUGGGACCAGGACGCUGCCUCCCAUCGCCCGCCUGCACCCGGCCCGCCCUGGACCCACACAUGGCGCCCCCGGCCCUGCACACAGCCCUUGCUGGCGUGUGUGUUGCCUCCUUAACUUAAGCAAUUUAAUGGGUACCCCAGGCACCGGUGGAGACUGUGCGGAACCUUCCUGAUCCCCGGGUCCUGCUCCAGUUCCCACUCCCAACCAGAGAGACCUGUAGGGCACAUGGGCUCCAUCCUUCACCUUCCCUCCUCCUUGGUUGUAUUGCAUAUUAUGUAUUUUUUAAAAAAGAUAUUUCUGGGGCACCUGGGUGGCUCCAUCGGUGAAGCAUCUGCCUUCAGCUCAGGUCACGAUCCCAGGGUCUGGGGACUGAGACCCACAUCGGGCUCCCUGCUUAAUAGGGGACCUGCUUCUCCCUCUCCUCCCCUCUGCACUCUCUUUUGCUGUCUCUCUCUCAAAUAAAUAAAUAAAAUCUUUAAAAUAUGUAUAAACU
rnacentral:lncRNA from 12 species